GAUGAACGCUGGCGGCGUGCCUAAUACAUGCAAGUCGAGCGAACGGACGAGAAGCUUGCUUCUCUGAUGUUAGCGGCGGACGGGUGAGUAACACGUGGAUAACCUACCUAUAAGACUGGGAUAACUUCGGGAAACCGGAGCUAAUACCGGAUAAUAUUUUGAACCGCAUGGUUCAAAAGUGAAAGACGGUCUUGCUGUCACUUAUAGAUGGAUCCGCGCUGCAUUAGCUAGUUGGUAAGGUAACGGCUUACCAAGGCAACGAUGCAUAGCCGACCUGAGAGGGUGAUCGGCCACACUGGAACUGAGACACGGUCCAGACUCCUACGGGAGGCAGCAGUAGGGAAUCUUCCGCAAUGGGCGAAAGCCUGACGGAGCAACGCCGCGUGAGUAAUGAAGGUCUUCGGAUCAUAAAACUCUGUUAUUAGGGAAGAACAUAUGUGUAAGUAACUGUGCACAUCCUGACGGUACCUAAUCAGAAAGCCACGGCUAACUACGUG
rnacentral:rRNA from 1 species